GGCUAGUCCGAAGGUAGUGAGUUAUCUCAGUUGAUCACAGUCAGUUACAGAUUCAACUCCUUGUUCUACUUUUUCCCCCCUUCUCAGUACUGCACUUGACUACUGUUAA
rnacentral:Y_RNA from 1 species